UACGUAGGGUGCAAGCGUUGUCCGGAAUUAUUGGGCGUAAAGAGCUCGUAGGCGGUUUGUCACGUCGGAUGUGAAACCCCGGGGCUCAACCCCGGGCCUGCAUUCGAUACGGGCAGACUAGAGUUCGGCAGGGGAGACUGGAAUUCCUGGUGUAGCGGUGAAAUGCGCAGAUAUCAGGAGGAACACCGGUGGCGAAGGCGGGUCUCUGGGGCCGAUACUGACGUGAGGAGCGAAAGCGUGGGGGAGCAAACAGG
rnacentral:rRNA from 1 species